GCCAGACUCCUACGGGAGGCAGCAGUGGGGAAUAUUGCACAAUGGGGGGAACCCUGAUGCAGCGACGCCGCGUGGGUGAAGGAGUAUUUCGGUAUGUAAAGCCCUAUCAGCAGGGAAGAACAAUGACGGUACCUGACUAAGAAGCACCGGCUAAAUACGUGCCAGCAGCCGCGGUAAUACGUAUGGUGCAAGCGUUAUCCGGAUUUACUGGGUGUAAAGGGAGCGCAGGCGGCCUUGCAAGUCUGAUGUGAAAGCCCGGGGCCCAACCCCGGGACUGCUCUUGGAACUGCGCGGCUGGAGUGCAGGAGGGGCAGGCGGAAUUCCUGGUGUAGCGGUGAAAUGCGUAGAUAUCAGGAGGAACACCGGUGGCGAAGGCGGCCUGCUGGACUGCGACUGACGUUGAGGCCCGAAAGCGUGGGGAGCAAACAGGAUUAGAUACCCUCGUA
rnacentral:rRNA from 1 species